UACGGAGGGUGCAAGCGUUGUCCGGAAUCACUGGGCGUAAAGGGCGCGUAGGCGGCUCAUGAAGGCUGUGGUGAAAGUCCGGGGCUCAACCUCGGAUCGGCCGUGGCGACUCGUGGGCUGGAGCACUGUAGAGGCGAGUGGAAUUCCUGGUGUAGCGGUGAAAUGCGCAGAUAUCAGGAGGAACACCAAUUGCGAAGGCAGCUCGCUGGAACGUAACUGACGCUGAGACGCGAAAGCGUGGGGAGCAAACAGG
rnacentral:rRNA from 1 species